UGCCCUGGCAGUCAGAGGCGAUGAAGGGCGUGCUAAUCUGCGAUAAGCGCCGGUAAGGUGAUAUGAACCGUUAUAACCGGCGAUACCCGAAUGGGGAAACCCAGUGUGUUUCGACACACUAUCAUUAACUGAAUCCAUAGGUUAAUGAGGCGAACCGGGGGAACUGAAACAUCUAAGUACCCCGAGGAAAAGAAAUCAACCGAGAUUCCCCCAGUAGCGGCGAGCGAACGGGGAGGAGCCCAGAGCCUGAAUCAGCAUGUGUGUUAGUGGAAGCGUCUGGAAAGGCGCGCGAUACAGGGUGACAGCCCCGUACACAAAAGCGCAUGUGCUGUGAGCUCGAUGAGUAGGGCGGGACACGUGGUAUCCUGUCUGAAUAUGGGGGGACCAUCCUCCAAGGCUAAAUACUCCUGACUGACCGAUAGUGAACCAGUACCGUGAGGGAAAGGCGAAAAGAACCCCGGCGAGGGGAGUGAAAAAGAACCUGAAACCGU
rnacentral:rRNA from 1 species